UAGGCUACCCUGCCACCCCAUAAAGUGUAAAGGAGGGGAAAUAACUCACACCAUGCAGCAGGACACCUUCAGCUGUGGGGUCUUUAUAAUGCAGGUUUGAUAGUUAUAUUUUCAAUAAUGAAUGGUUAGCUGUUAUGUGACAAUUAGGUAAAAAAAACUAUUUUAUUUUUUGGUGUAGAUGGCCAAGGAAGUUGCACAGAACUUCCCCAACAUCCCCUCCCAAAUUCAUAUGGAACCUUCAAAAACAUAUGGAGCAACUGCGAAAAGAAAUGGCUGAGGAUAUUCAAAAAAUGUCUGAGUUCAACAAAGCCAACAACUGCUUCAUGUGUGCCACUGAUAAAGAACCUGGAUAUGGCCCAAAGACUGACUGGGUUAAUCUUUUGACAACAGUGAUGGCAUAUUGAAUGUUUGCAUGCCAACGGUGGUUCCAUGUGCUGUAACUAGGAAUGAAGACAAAACAGUUCAACAGAGUAAAGAACACAAACUGGAAGUACAGUCUUUGUUGUUGAAAAUGUAUGCUAUACCCCAUCCACACUGAAGAGGCUCUGAAAUGUACAUCAACCAGGGAUAAAGAGAAAGUUAACACUGUGAAAUGUUUCAUACUUAUUUGAAGUUAAGUGUCUGUUGACAUGUUGGAAAGACUAAAGGUCUACAAUUUCUGUUUAAUUUGUCAAUAUUAUAUUUUUAUUAAUUGCUUUACUGGCCACCAUUACCAUGGUUACAUGUUCAGUAUAUGUAUUGACCAGCCUACCUCACUAGCUCACUCUCCAUCCCUGCUUUGGACAAUUAAUAGCAUGACUCUCGUACUUUGCUCUUUUCCUUUAUAGUUGAUAUUAACGAUGAAAGGAGAUAUUAUCUGUCUCUCUCCUAUUGUUGUUAGCUGUUAAAUACUGUGGAAAAAUAAAAAAAACUGGGAAAAUAAGUACUUAACUACCAAUUUGUAUAGAUAAAUAUUAAAGAAAAGGGUAAACACAACACUGGACUGACCCCCCUAAUUAUCAAACUAAUAUUAAUGUACAACAAUAUAGAAGAGACAUACGAGGUUAUGCAUUAUGGGUGUAUAUCCACUGCACGCUUCUUAGGUGUGUAAUUGAUAUGACCAAGGAGCUAUUGAUAUUUAAAACUGAAAAAUGUACAUUAAACCGCGUUAUUGUACAGUACACAAACAAGUGUGCAAUACAGAAGGGUACAUUCUGCACCACGUUUGAAGUAAGUAGGUCACAUGACCAAGGAGCUAUUUAAAUUUGGAAAAAUUCAUGUAAAAUGAGAUGAAAAUGGAAAAUGGACUAACUAAAGG